UACGUAGGGUGCAAGCGUUAAUCGGAAUUACUGGGCGUAAAGCGUGCGCAGGCGGUGAUGUAAGACAGUUGUGAAAUCCCCGGGCUCAACCUGGGAACUGCAUCUGUGACUGCAUCGCUGGAGUGCGGCAGAGGGGGGAUGGAAUUCCGCGGUGUAGCAGUGAAAAUGCGUAGAUAUCUGGAGGAAUACCGAUGGCGAAGGCAGCCCCCUGGGUUAACACUGACGCUCGAU
rnacentral:rRNA from 1 species